rnacentral:rRNA from 1 species
CGAACGCUGGCGGCGUGCUUACCACAUGCAAGUCGCACGCUGAAGCUCAGCUUGCUGGGUGGAUGAGUGGCGAACGGGUGAGUAACACGUGAGUAACCUGCCCCCUUCUUUGGGAUAACGCCCGGAAACGGGUGCUAAUACUGGAUAUUCACUGAUCUUCGCAUGGGGGUUGGUGGAAAGGUUUUUUCUGGUGGGGGAUGGGCUCGCGGCCUAUCAGCUUGUUGGUGGGGUGAUGGCCUACCAAGGCUUUGACGGGUAGCCGGCCUGAGAGGGUGACCGGUCACAUUGGGACUGAGAUACGGCCCAGACUCCUACGGGAGGCAGCAGUGGGGAAUAUUGCACAAUGGGCGAAAGCCUGAUGCAGCGACGCCGCGUGAGGGAUGGAGGCCUUCGGGUUGUAAACCUCUUUCGCUCAUGGUCAAGCCGCAACAUUGGUUGUGGUGAGGGUAGUGGGUAAAGAAGCGCCGGCUAACUACGUG